UGAAGCAGUGAUCGUCACAUUGCGCACCAAUCUUUCGCCUUUUACUAAAGAUUGCCGUGUGGCGUCCGCAUAAUGCUAAUUUCAAAUUUUUCUGGUGCUCCGGCGCCU
rfam:Babesia equi strain WA chromosome 1, complete sequence.